GAGAACUGCAACCAUUUUCUCCCUGAACAUGGAGAAGCUUCAGAAUCCAUACUCUAUGUCUAUAUCUAUAUUUUAUAUAAAUAUAAUAAAGCUGAGCACCAAAAUAGGUCCAUGCCAUGCUGUCAUGUGGCUUUCUAUAUUAGCACCACUUGGCAUAAUAGGAGAGCUGCAUCAAGGGUUUAACAACAAACAUAUCUCCUUCCUUUGCUUUUUUAAGCUCCUUGUCUUCCCAUUCAUUUACUUUGGCUCUUUCUUCCUAUCUAAUGCACUAAUUUAAUAUCAAUAUAAUCCAUCUUAUACCUUUCGGAGUCACCAGGUGGUUACAACAUAUUAUCACUCUAGUAUAAACUAAAAUUAAAUAACAUAUUAUAUCAAACUAAUUACUUUCAAAACACAAACGCACAAGCCACCUUUUCAUUGUCCACUAUACUUGCAAAAUUAUGUACUUAAUUCUUUAUAAUAAAAAAAUCUACGACAAUAGUUUUAAUUUAAUUAAUACUAGGAAAACUAACAGUUAUAGUUAUAAAUUAAACUAUAUAAACCAAAGCCACCUUUCCAGUGUUCACUAUAAAACCAUGCACUUAAUUCCUUCAAAUAAAAAAAAUUAUGACAAUAGUUAUAAUUUAAUUAGUACUAGAAAAAUUAAGAAUUAUAGAUUAGUUAUAUAUUAAACUACAUAAAUCAAAACUAACUUUUCAUUUUUCCAUUAUAAUUAUAAAAUCGUGUAAUAAAAAAAUUUUAUGAUAAUAGUCAUAAAUUAAUAAAUAUUAAGAAAAUUAAGAGUUAUAAUUAUAAAAUAUAUAAACUAAUAUCACAAAUCAAUCAAAGUAGCCACCUCCCAAUGCAAAUGGAAAUUCAAUAUCAAUAUAAGAUUUUUUCUCAAAUUUACAAAAUGAUAUUUUAGUAACUAAGGAAUUAGAAGAUGAUGAAAAACAAUUUGUACAAAUAUCGCUAAGGUAAUUUUCAUCUUGUAAGAAUUUAUUUAUAUAUAUUUUAUUAGCAUCUAUUUUUUAUUUUUUAAAUUCAUUUUCAAUUUAUAUUUAUUUUCUUUAUAUUUUCUUGGUUUCUUUUACAAAUAUUUCUUAAAACAUUUCAAAUAAAUUAAAUAUAUAAAAGAGACACUAUAUAGUUAUAUAUUUAUUUAAUUAAAUAAUAUACCAAUAAUAAUUAUAUCUGCGCAAUGCGCGGGCAAAAACCUAGUUACCACUUAUUUUCCCUGCCAUUGCCAAAUGUUUGCAAGAGGAUUCACUGAUUGUUGACAAAAUAUUUCAUUGCAGGGUGAAAAGGAUGACAAGAUU
rnacentral:misc_RNA from 1 species